UUAUAAGAGACAGCAGCAGCCGCGGUAACACGGAGGGUGCAAGCGUUAUCCGGAUUUAUUGGGUUUAAAGGGUCCGUAGGCGGAUCUGUAAGUCAGUGGUGAAAUCUCACAGCUUAACUGUGAAACUGCCAUUGAUACUGCAGGUCUUGAGUAAAUUUGAAGUGGCUGGAAUAAGUAGUGUAGCGGUGAAAUGCAUAGAUAUUACUUAGAACACCAAUUGCGAAGGCAGGUCACUAAGAUUUAACUGACGCUGAUGGACGAAAGCGUGGGGAGCGAACAGGAUUAGAUACCCCUGUAGUCCCUGUCUCUUAUAC
rnacentral:rRNA from 1 species